rnacentral:rRNA from 1 species
UACGUAGGGGGCAAGCGUUGUCCGGAUUUAUUGGGCGUAAAGAGCUCGUAGGUGGUUCGGUAAGUCGGAUGUGAAAUCUCCAGGCUCAACCUGGAGGGGUCAUUCGAUACUGCCGUGACUAGAGGUCGGUAGGGGAGUGUGGAAUUUCUGGUGGAGCGGUGAAAUGCGCAGAUAUCAGGAGGAACACCCGUAGCGAAGGCGGCACUCUGGGCCGAUACUGACACUGAGGAGCGAAAGCGUGGGGAGCGAACAGG